rnacentral:lncRNA from 10 species
AUAGCAAGAACGCUCGCCAGGGUAGAAAGUAUGCCCUUGUGGACCCCAGGAGUCUGGCUGCCUCUUCGUCCUCCUGCGGCAGGCGAGGCGGGGUGCAGGUGUGAGUGGGGUGGGAGGAAGGGGAAAGGAUCGGGGUCGCCGCAGCCUUUCUGGUCAGUUUCGCUGGGUUUUGUCAGUUCCGUUUGAGACCGAGGCGCACGGACUAGCGGCCGCCAGCACCUCACAGGUGGAGGACACCUCUUGCGCCCCAAGGUCAAUGUCAUCCCGAUGGGUCCCGUGCCGUCCUGACUCUCCCUGACCUAAUUCUUUGGUUAUGACUUUCUCACCUUCUGGGCUUCGCCUCUGCCAGCUUUCGCCGACGUCGCCCUUCCCGCCGCCCGCCCGGGCCUUCCUACCCGCUCUCCUCCCUCCCUGGCCCGACGGUCCCACUGAGGCAAAAACAAACAGCCCUGAGGGCACUUCAAGGAGCGUGCAGUGGCCCCGACGGUACUCUCGGGGGGAUAAAAGAGGUGGCCAGCCACGCCGUCGGCCCCCGGCCGAAUAAUGGGCGCGCAGCAGAUUGCCAGGGGGCACUUGAAACUCGAGGGGAGGGAAAUACUUGAGCGCGGUCCCUCCCCGCGAGGACGCACGACGCAGCCUCGCGGAUCGUCCCUUGUUCGCUCUCUUUCAUGCACUCUCCUUUUGUGUGGAAUUAUCUAAACGGGAGAUCCCUGGCAGCUUUAUGCUAAUGCGCCGAACAAAGGCAACGGCCCGCGGGCGGGAGGCCCGGAAGGUGCCUGGGGCCGGGCCGGGCGGGGUGGCGGCCAGGCGGGCUGCGCGUGUCUCUCGCGUGCCCCUGGGACUGACACAACAACCCCUCAUUCCUGCAAAUACAAAGCCUCUCACCGGCUCGGGUCGGGCGCACCCGGCGCAGGGAGGCGCUGGUCCCUCCGGGCGGCGGGCACUGCAGCGGUAACGCACGGUUCCUGCCGGUUGUGGCUCGGGGGACUGAGGGCCGGGAGUGGGGGCUUCUGUGAAGCCAGAAGAGAAGUCUGCAGCAGAGUGGUGAUGAGGGGCGCUGACACCUCACCCCCAACGCCGACGUCUCCAAACGCGAUACCCUCUGCGGGGUGAGAAUGCGGGCCCGCCCGGCUCCUCCCGUGAGGCCAGGGCCUCCUGUUCUCCUAGACACCCCAAGGAGCCAACUCCUCCGCAGAAGUUCCCCGCUUCUGCUCUUAUUUCCAAGCUUCGCGCUUUCUACAAACUCCCUGUUGCCUUGACUUUGAUUUCCAGCCGUGGUGAGGGUCAGAGUGAACCCCGGCGCGCUCCCCGACGGCAUCCCCGCACACCAGGAUAGGAGAAAUUGGAGGGCCUGGGGCCUCGGGCUCCGCAGUCGUCGGAGGAAGAACCCACCGCGGGGUCCGCAAGGGAAAGUGAAGAGGCCCGGGAUUUUUCCAAAGCGCUGGCCAGGACCCCGAAGGAAGGGGAGGAGUCACCUGAAGCCGGGGAAGGCCCCUUGGGUGCUCUGCCUUGGAUCCUUAUGUUCACUGACUUUCGCGAAGCCCCCCUGGAGGGGGGCAAAUCCGCGCUGUUUCCCCCAACUUAACUUCACGCGGCCCAUUCUCCGAAUCGCGUGCGCCAAGGCCGGCGUCGGGGGCGCACUGUGAUGGCGCUUUGCUCUUCCCAGGCGAAGACAAAUAUCUCGACCCGAUGUCCCCAUGCAUGCGGGUGCACAGGUUCUGAGAAAAUCACGCAGAAGGCGGCUGCGAUCCACGGCCCGGGCUGGGCUACACCUGCUUGGAGGUCGCUGGUGUGUGCGUGCGCGCGUGCGCAGCCUAACUCCUUCCAGCCCCGGGUGGUGAAAUUAGUUUCCAAUACUAGUACCUUUCAAGUUUCCAUUUAUUUUGACUGUACCCGUCUGAAAGCAGAUUUCAUUUACGCUAGCAAGACUGGAAGCCACAAAUAAAGAAAAAGAAACGGAUUCAUUG